CUUCUCAAGGAGCCGCAGGGAGCCGACUGCUGCUGGAGGAGAUGGAAGGUGCUGGCAGGGGCUGAGCUUGCUGAGUCCAGGA
ensembl:miRNA